GAUACUGUUACCUCCCCAAAACAUGCAUUCACCUUAUGGCACAGAAUAAUCCAAAUUCAUUUGAUAGAUUAUUACAUGUGUGAGGAACCUUUCUUGCGUUGUUACAAAAACUGUCUAAGGACUAGAGAAACAGUUAAUACUUAAAAUUCCAUCUCAUACACAAGGCCCAAUAAACCAUAAACCUUAGAAAUAAGCAUCACUCAUCAAAGUCUAGGUUAACAAACCAAGCACAUCCCGAAUACACGGAAUUCACCCCACCCCCCACCCCAAGCUCCCACCCUCGAAAAGCACCUGUUAGCCUCCCAGAUACCUGACCACAGACAAACCGCAAAACACUGCUCUGUACUCUAAGUGCCUUUAGCAACCCCCAACACAGCUGAGACGUCCAGGAACCAUCUACACACUUUUCCCAGGGUAGAGAUUGGGGGGCUUUCCAUCUAGGCAGUGGGGUCCUGACUGCUGCUAUCCGCCCCUCGGAAUCUCGAGAGGAAACAGGGCUUCCUUUCGACUUCUGAGCUCAGCUGGACCCCACCCGGGGCCCCAGGGGACGUCCGCUCAGAGAUGGAGUGAUUUGGAAGCAGGGGGCGCAGACAGCCACUCCCAGGCCCCGGGGAAGUGUAGGGUGUCGGGCCGGGUUCACCGAGCGGUCCAAAGGGGUGGGAGCCUCGAGCCCCGCGGUGGCACGCCGGGGCGCGGGGCGGGGGAGACUCUUACCCGGAGGUGCCGAACAGGAGGCGGCGGUGGGCCCUGGAGGCUACUGUAAUCCACUAGGCGCUGCCGGGCUGCGCACGCUCUGGGCUUCUUCAUGUUGGAGAAGGAGCCGCGUCGGAACCGCGCGGCUCGGUCACCCGGAGCAGGCCGGCUGCUCCCGGCGGGCGGUGCCGGCGCCGGCGGGGGCCUCGGUGCCCGGGGCUCCUUCCGGGCUCUCCCGCCCGCCGGGCUCCCUACCGGCUUCGGAGGCGGCAGCGGCGCUGCCGGGGCGAAGCGGCGGUGGGGCCAGGUUGAGCGCCGGGCGGGAGACGAGGCCGCCGCGGACCCCGCGAUCCCGCAGCCGGCGACUGGAGCCCACCUCUGCAGAGACAAAGAUGCCUGAGGAUUCAGCAAACACUGAAGAAGCAGAGGACACAAGUUUGGAUGUGAAAGAGCAACACCUUCUGCACUGAAGAAUAAUUAGACAAUAUUUUUAAUUAUACAAGAAAAUCCAGCAUGUUGUUGGACCCUUCCAAGCUAGAGCACUUUAUAUGGGUCUAUACAUGUGGAACUGAACAGAGAUUGUUUAAUUCUAAGAUAUUCUGAGAAAGAACCUCAAUUGUCAUUUUUCCUCUACCUAAAAAAAAUGCACAGCUUUAUGACCGUCCUUUUCUGCUCGGGGAAGAGGGCUAGGAAAAAAACUGCACUUUUGAAAAGGCAGCCAUAUUUGCAUUUUCCCCUCUUGUGCAGAGGUAAGCCAUGUGCUAGGCUUUGUGGAACUUCACAAAAUGGCAGCCCGUGAACUGACUUUUCUCUAGGAACCAUUGAGACCCACACCCCCUUUUGUGUGUUUCUGGUCCAUGAAAACAGAGAAUCUGAUUCACUUCGAAGGCUUGGUUAUUUCAUUCCGUGUUAACAUUGGAGGGUCCUAUUUUUCUGUAAAUAGUUUACAGACCUCUCUAAGCAGAUCCUCUAAGCAGUCCAAGGCAAAAGAACGUUGCGCAGGUUUGCAAAAGGUUCAUGCAAAUUUCUGCAGCAAAAAUGUUGGCUCACUUAUUGCUGCAACCCUCGGAUGUUUACAGAUUUGAGCCAAUUAGAAGGGUAUCUCCUGCACUCGUCACUGUGAGCUGUCUGCAUGAAACACCAUGAUGGGAGUUUCUAGCCACUGUAAGAAAGAAGGUGGUGAUGAGGGUUUGUAAUUCCACAGCUCUUUAUUUGGAGACAAAUCUAUGCUUUUCCCAGCUGCAAAAGGAAACUUACAUACCUACAUUUAUUACCAAUGUUUUCUGCACAUGAAUAUCAAUGUGUAUAUACAAAUACACCAUAUAUAUACACACCAAAAAAAUGUACAAAUACUCUCAAAUGUACCAGUUAACUGCAACAGUCUUUUUCUGUACAUGAGCUGUGAAUUAACCAUGGGUUAGGAGGCUGAUGGGGCCAGGCAGCACAACAGAGUAGCACAAAAUGAAGAGG
ensembl:lncRNA